rfam:Pan troglodytes isolate Yerkes chimp pedigree #C0471 (Clint) chromosome 15, whole genome shotgun sequence.
AUUCUUACCUCGCAGGGGAGAUGCCAUGAUCAUGAAGGUGGUUUUCCCAGGGUGAGGCUCAUCCAUUGCACUCCAUAGGUGUGCUUACCACUGUGAUUUCCCCAAAUGCGGGAAACUCAACUGCAUAAUUUGUUGUAGUGAGGAACUGCAUUCGUGCUUUCCCCUG